UCAUAUAAAUACCGUUGCAAAUCAUUGUCAACUCAUUAGUUCAAGAGAGAACAAGUUUGGAUAUUGAUUCCUUGAAGCAAGAUUCUGUAUAAGUGCUCAAUAAUGUCUCGUAGCAUUUUCGCCGUAUUUUUGUUCGGUCUGGCUGCCAUCGUUGGUGUUAAAGGCGAUUGUCAGGGGGAGGGCGCUGGUUGUUCUGUUUUUUAUCCGUGUUGUGAUGGUCUCCAAUGUGAGGCUGGCGCCCACGUUUGCCGCAGGCCAGGGAAGGAGGGUGAACGCUGCCACUUGACCCGACACUGUGGAAAGGGACUCUACUGUCGUCCAUUGUACCAUACCUGCCAGCGUAUGGGUAACAUUGGCGAGAAAUGUGUCUCCGGAUUCAACAGCGCUGAAGGUCGUCGAUGUAACUACCAGAAAAAGUUAUGGUGCGACCCCUUCAGUCGCACCUGUCUCCCUCCCUCGGGCAGAGGGAACGUCUGUGGAUAUUUGGGAGAAAAGGAGGACAGUGGGAAUUGCCAGGCAGGAUUGAGGUGCCAGUGUGACGCGGCGUGCUCGAUCCGAAAUCUUCUGAGGGAUCUCCAGGGAGCGCUAAGUGGAGUUGCUCAGACCAUCCAAGACCUGAUUGGCAAAAAGAAGUUUUGCUGCAAAUGUGUGUAAGACUUGGAUCUUAUUUCCGUAUGUUUAUUAAAUGCAGUGUAAAGCUUUCAAUAAACAAAGACAUAAUGCAAAAAAUAUCAUGGACA